GACGAACGCUGGCGGCGUGCUUAACACAUGCAAGUCGAACGGAAAGGCCCUGCUUGCAGGGUACUCGAGUGGCGAACGGGUGAGUAACACGUGGGUGAUCUGCCCUGCACUUCGGGAUAAGCUUGGGAAACUGGGUCUAAUACCGGAUAGGAGCCAUCUUUAGUGUGGUGGUUGGAAAGUUUUUUCGGUGUAGGAUGAGCUCGCGGCCUAUCAGCUUGUUGGUGGGGUAAUGGCCUACCAAGGCGGCGACGGGUAGCCGGCCUGAGAGGGUGUACGGCCACAGUGGGAAUGAGAGACGGCCCAGACUCCUACGGGAGGCAGCAGUGGGGAAUAUUGCACAAUGGGCGCAAGCCUGAUGCAGCGACGCCGCGUGGGGGAUGAAGGCCUUCGGGUUGUAAACUCCUUUCGCUAGGGACGAAGCUUUUUUGUGACGGUACCUAGAGAAGAAGCACCGGCUAACUACGUG
rnacentral:rRNA from 1 species